AAUGUGAGCUCUACAGCCUCAGGCAUCUUGGAACAGGAUCAUGGUCCUUUGUGAUUACGCUGGACUCACCUGGGUAAUCCAGUAUCCACUUCAAAAUUCUUCAACACAUCUACAACCUUUUGACAUGGAAGCACCCAGAGAUGCUCUCCUGAGGCCCAGACCACCACGGCCAGUCAUGGGGGAGGAGUGGCGUUGGCGAUUCAGGACUGCUUUUUCCCUCUUCAGUGCCUCUCUCAACAACAUGAAGAGUUCUGCAGCCAAAAGCCAGAGAGAGUCUUGCCUUUCGCGAUGCCAAAUUAAGAAGAUGAAUGCAUAGCUCACUCAGAGAAACAAACCUUAUGAAGACAGUCUUCGCUACAGGGGCUUACUCAUCAUGCAAUACCUCCUCUUGGCUGUGGACAUUUUGAUGAAACAUUGAAAUUAGAGUCAACCAACCUAAAUAUCUGUAACAACAUCUGGAAAGGUGUAUAAUUCAGAAUUGCAUGAAGACAACAAAAGAUUGGUGAACUUGCUAUAGUCUACACUUAGGACUGGCAAUUCUGUGUGUGCUCCUGUAACCCCAGCCACAUGUAACUCCAUGCCUGGAGAGUUUUCUGGAAUCUGGGUGUAUCUUCUCUGGAGUAUUCAACUUGUCUCUUGAACGCCAUACAUGGCAAUUUUGUAUGCUGAAUUGUUUCCCCCCCUCCCCAAAUUCAUAAGUUGACGUCUGAGCCCUCAUUAUUUCAGAAUAUAACUGCAUUUUGGAGAUAAGGUUUAUAAAGAGAUAAUUAAGUUAAAAUGAGGUCCUAAUCCAAUCUGACUAGCAUCCUUCAGAGAAGAAGAAGAAAUUCUAGGGGUUUGAGUGCACAAAGAGUCAACAAUGUGAAGAGGUGUCAAGAGGGCAGCCAUCCGCAAGUCAGAGAGAGAAACCUUACGAGAAACCAACCUGCCAGCGCCUUCAUUUUGGACUCGCUUCUUCAGAAAUGUGAGAAAAUAAACUUUGUUGAUUAAGCCAACUAGUCUGUAGUACUUUGUUAUGGCAACCCUAGCAAGCUAUUCCAACAGCAAAGAACAUUAGUCCUGGAUAUUUCAAGUGCACCAAAUGGCCAACUUUGUAAUCAAGAUAAGAUAUCACAAGGGUCCUGCACUUUCACCUUCCUCAUCCAAAAACCCUCAACCUUGGUGCCCAGUCACUCUCCACCAACGCCCUCCUUCUCAUUUUGUUUGGUUUUGCCUCAUGGCUUGUCAGUCAUCCUCUGUACCAUGGAUUUUGGUGAUGAUAGGGGCCCAGUAGCUUUAGAUUCUGAGCAUUGAAAAGAAACAAGUUCUAUAUGGGCUGGUCUCCAGGCACACUGUCUAAAGGGUAAUCAAACAUUUUCCAUGAAAUGUAGCCACCCUCUUGCCAUCAGAUCUUGUAUGUAUUGUUGUACAGAAUAUGUUUUAUCAGUUCUUCAAUGUGAUUUGCCAUGAUAAAACAACCCCUUCUUACUAUUUGAACUUUGAUAUGCAACAUACUCCAAGAGGAGGUUAAAUUUCGUGAACUGGUUGUGAGGAGGGUUAGGAAACUCAUCCUACCAUACUCACAGUACUAUAGAGGCAAAUGUGGCAUAAAAUUAUAUCCUUAUAACUGCUUCUACCAGAUUUAUGAAAUUACUCUACAGUUUCUGGUUUCUUCUUACUAAGGUGCUAGUGAUAACCAGUGAUGAAGGUAAGCCUCUGCUUAGUCCCACCUAAAUUCCUUCUCAUCUGAUUUCUGUUUUCCCAUGUUGUUCUUUUCCCUUUGAGGAAUGAAAAUUUCUCUGUGCCUGGAUCCUUACUUCUUAAUCUCUGUUUAUACAGUUCUCCAAAAUGUAUGCAAUAACAUUUAGCAAUAAAUGUCUAUAAGCUCUUUUCAUCUUGCAAAAACUUGGCUGCCUACAAAUUUAUCACCCUGGAAAUGACACCUGCCUGUUCUAUCAAGUUGGAAAUGCUGCUCACCAACCUGAGCACUUGUGCCCUUUUCUCCAAACAGC
rnacentral:lncRNA from 1 species